rnacentral:rRNA from 1 species
UACGAAGGGGGCAAGCGUUGUUCGGAAUUACUGGGCGUAAAGGGAGUGUAGGCGGUUUAGUAAGAUAGUGGUGAAAUCCCAGGGCUUAACUUUGGAAUUGCCAUUAUAACUAUUAGACUAGAAUUACAGAGAGGAUAGUGGAAUACCCAGUGUAGAGGUGAAAUUCGUAGAUAUUGGGUAGAACACCAGUGGCGAAGGCGACUAUCUGGCUGUACAUUGACGCUGAGGCUCGAAAGCAUGGGGAUCAAACA